rnacentral:rRNA from 1 species
UCUGCCUACGGGGCGCAGCAGUGGGGAAUAUUGGGCAAUGGGCGCAAGCCUGACCCAGCAACGCCGCGUGAAGGAAGAAGGCUUUCGGGUUGUAAACUUCUUUUGUCAGGGACGAAGCAAGUGACGGUACCUGACGAAUAAGCCACGGCUAACUACGUGCCAGCAGCCGCGGUAAUACGUAGGUGGCAAGCGUUAUCCGGAUUUACUGGGUGUAAAGGGUGCGUAGAUGGAGAAACAAGUUGUUUGUGAAAUACCUCGGCUCAACUGAGGAACUGCAAGCAAAACUGUAUAUCUUGAGUACUGGG